rnacentral:rRNA from 1 species
AGGAAUAAGUGAUUAUUCUGCUAGAUGGAUGACUCAGUUCACGACGCCGAAGAAGGGCGUGGCAAGCUACGAUAUGCUUGGGGUAGGUGCACGCAGCCGUUGAACCCAAGAUACCUGAAUGCGACAUCGCAUUAGACCCGAAAGGGUGGGGAACUCAGGGAAUUGAAACAUCUUAGUACCUGAAGGAAAAGAAAUCAAUCGAGAUGCUGUGAGUAGCAGCGAGCGAAAGCAGUAGAAGGCAAACCGAAUACGCUCUCGAAAGAGAGUGCAAAUGUGGUGUGAUAAGACCUGUUUUUAACCUUCCUAAGGAGAACCAAAGUUUGUUGGAACACAGCGCGAUACAGGGUGAUAGCCCCGUAGGUUUUUCUUAGAUGGUGUACAGAGUUCUUGAGUAGGGCUCACUGGAUACUGGGCCUGAAUUUGGGAGGCAUCAACUUCCAACCUUAAAUACGUCGUGAAUCUGAUAGCGUACCAGUACUGUGAAGGAACGUUGAAAAGAACCCGUAACAGGGUGUGAAAAGAGCCUGAAACCUAGCAGAGAUCGAAAGCUACUGCCCUUCGGGGUUGUAGCGUCCGUUUUGAAUAACGGGCGAGGGAGUGCAUUUGUGUGGCGAAGAUAAGGCGGUAAAGCCGUAUCUGUAGGGAAACCGAUUGUCCGCAGUUUACGAGGGACAAAGUGCGAAAGUGCUUUAAGUCACAUGGGUGCUACCAGAAACUAAGUGAUCUAACCGUGUAGAGGAUGAAGCGAAGUUUUUAGCUUCGUGGAGGUCCGAAGCGGUCUUCCAUGCACGGAGUCGUGUCAUAUACGGUUAGGGGUGAAAAGCCAAUCGAACCUAGUUAUAGCUGGUUCCUGUCGAAAUAGGCCGCAGUCUAGUCUGUGUGGAGAUGGUCAGAGAGGUAGAGCGACGGAUUAGAAGGUUAGGGAGGGAAACCUCUCGCCUUCUUGUCCAACUCCGAAUGCUCUGAUAUCGUAGAAGCAUGGAAACGGGAGUACGGGGUAAGCUUGUAUUCCGUGAGGGGAACAACCCAGACUGUGAUUAAGGUCCCAAAGUUACCACUAAGUAUCAAAGGUUGAAAGGUGUAUGCCACCAAAGACAGCGGGGAGGUUUGCUUAGAAGCAGCAAUCCUUUAAAGAAAGCGUAACAGCUCACCCGUCAAGGUGUCAUGCCCUGAAAAUGGACGGGAUUAAGUGGUGCACCGAGAUCACAGACCACGUUCGUAAGAACGUGUGUGGUAGACAGGCGUGCUGGUAGAGUAGAAGCGUGUUCGUAAGUUCAUGUGGAUCUGCCAGUACUGAGAAUCCUCGUGUAAGUAGGAUCUAUAUGCAGUGAGAAUCUGCAAUGCCGCAAGCUCAAGGGUUCCUUAGCAAUGUCGAUCAGCUAAGGGUUAGUCAGUCCUAACCGCGUUCCUAACUGGAAUGGUGGGAAGGGGAAAAAGGUUAAUAGUCCUUUACUAUGCAAUAACGCGUGGCAACACUAGCUUUGAUGGAGAUACAUCGGGCUAAGCCGACAUUCACUGUCGUGAGUGUCAAUCAACGCACAUCUGGGGAGUAUCGUAAUGAUGAGAUCCAGAUGAAUAUUGAGACGAGCAGGUGUAUGCCUGUUCGGUUGAUGCCUGGUGUUCGUAAAAAUCCAUAAUAGAAGAAGUUGCAUAACUGUACCAAGAACCAGCACUGGUGUAGCUGGGUGAGAAGCCCGAGGCAUGAGGGUUUAAACUUGUUUAGGGAAAUCGACAAAUUAGCCCCGUAUCUUCGGUAUGAGGGGUCCCUGCGAUCGUGCUCGUAAGAGUGGCGAUAACAGGGUGCAAUGACUAGGCGAGUCCGUCUGUUUAACAAAAACACCGCUUCGUGCUACCCUGUAAAGGUGUGUAUACGAAGCCAUGUCUGCCCAGUGCUAGUAUCCGAAACUCCUUUCCAAGGGAGCUAAGGACUAGUAAACGGCGGGAAUAACUAUAAUUCUCUUAAGGUAGCGAAAUACCUUGUCGUUUGAAUGACGACGCGCAUGAAAGGCAUAACGAGACUUGCAUUGUCCCGAACGAGUGUCCCCUGAAUUUGCUAUGCUGGUGUGAAGGCCAGCGAUUCCUAGUGGGAAGCGAAGACCCCGUAGAACUUUACUGUAACUUGUCGUUGUGGUGUAAAGUCUGGUAUGUAGCGUAGGUGGAAGAGGUUCGAAGCGUGAUCGUCAGGUUACGUGUACUCGUCAAUGAAACACCACUUUCCGGAUCUUUACAUUGCUUACCGGCGUAAGCCGGGACACCGAUUGGCGGACAGUUUGGCUGGGGCGGCACCCUGCUGAAAAUGUAUCAGUAGGGCCCUAUGGUCAGCUCAGGAGGUUUAGAAAUCCUUCGUUGAGUGCAAAAGCAAAAGCUGGCCUGACUGGUUUACUAACACUAUGGAAACCAGAGACGAAAGUCGGGUUUAGCGAACACCUAGAUUUCCUUGAUGGGAGCUAGGUACGACAGAAAAGCUAUCUCGGGGAUAAUUGAGUCGUAGCGCCUAAGAGCUCAAAUCGACGGCGCUGCUUGCUACUUCGAUGUCGGCUCAUCGCAUCCUGGCUGUGCAGAAGC